AGUGAACGCUGGCGGUAGGCCUAACACAUGCAAGUCGAACGGCAGCACAGUAAGAGCUUGCUCUUACGGGUGGCGAGUGGCGGACGGGUGAGGAAUAAAUCGGAAUCUACUUUUUCGUGGGGGAUAACGUAGGGAAACUUACGCUAAUACCGCAUACGACCUACGGGUGAAAGCAGGGGAUCUUCGGACCUUGCGCGAUUGAAUGAGCCGAUGUCGGAUUAGCUAGUUGGCGGGGUAAAGGCCCACCAAGGCGACGAUCCGUAGCUGGUCUGAGAGGAUGACCAGCCACACUGGAACUGGGACUCGGUCCAGACUCCUACGGGAGGCAGCGGUUGGGAAUAUUGGACAAUGGGCGCAAGCCUGAUCCAGCCAUACCGCGUGUGUGAAGAAGGCCUUCGGGUUGUAAAGCCCUUUUGUUGGGAAAGAAAAGCAGCAGGUUAAUACCCCGCUGUUCUGACGGUACCCAAAGAAUAAGCACCGGCUAACUUCGUG
rnacentral:rRNA from 1 species